GAUGAACGCUGGCGGUGUGCCUAAUACAUGCAAGUCGAGCGAGCAGACGAGGAGCUUGCUCCUCUGACGUUAGCGGCGGACGGGUGAGUAACACGUGGAUAACCUACCUAUAAGACUGGGAUAACUUCGGGAAACCGGAGCUAAUACCGGAUAACAUGUUGAACCGCAUGGUUUAACAGUGAAAGACGGUCUUGCUGUCACUUAUAGAUGGAUCCGCGCCGCAUUAGCUAGUUGGUAAGGUAACGGCUUACCAAGGCAACGAUGCGUAGCCGACCUGAGAGGGUGAUCGGCCACACUGGAACUGAGACACGGUCCAGACUCCUACGGGAGGCAGCAGUAGGGAAUCUUCCGCAAUGGGCGAAAGCCUGACGGAGCAACGCCGCGUGAGUGAAGAAGGUCUUCGGAUCGUAAAACUCUGUUAUUAGGGAAGAACAAAUGUGUAAGUAACUAUGCACGUCUUGACGGUACCUAAUCAGAAAGCCACGGCUAACUACGUG
rnacentral:rRNA from 1 species